rnacentral:rRNA from 1 species
AUACGGAGGAUCCGAGCGUUAUCCGGAUUUAUUGGGUUUAAAGGGUGCGCAGGCGGGUGAUUAAGUCGGCGGUGAAAUUUUGCAGCUUAACUGUAAAAGUGCCUUUGAAACUGGUUUCCUUGAGUGUAGAUGAAGUAGGCGGAAUUUGUGGUGUAGCGGUGAAAUGCAUAGAUAUCACGAGGAACUCCGAUUGCGCAGGCAGCUUACUAAACUACUACUGACGCUCAAGCACGAAGGCGUGGGGAUCAAACAGGAUUAGAUACCCUGGUAGUCCACGCAGUAAACGAUGAUUACUAGCUGUUUGCGAUACAAUGUAAGCGGCUGAGCGAAAGCGUUAAGUAAUCCACCUGGGGAGUACGUUCGCAAGAAUGAAACUCAAAGGAAUUGACGGGG